rnacentral:rRNA from 1 species
CCCCCACCCGUGACGGUACCCGGAGAGGAAGGGACGGCUUAACUACGUGCCAGCAGCCGCGGUAAUACGUAGGUCCCGAGCGUUGCGCGAAAUUACUGGGCGUAAAGUGCGCGUAGGCGGGCCAGUAAGUCAGAGGUGAAAGCCCCCGGCUCAACCGGGGAAUUGCCUCUGAUACUGCUGGCCUAGGGUCCGGAAGACGCUGGCGGAAUUCCCGGUGUAGCGGUGAAAUGCAUAGAUAUCGGGAGGAACACCGGUGGCGAAGGCGGCCAGCGAGGACGGUACCGACGCUGAGGCGCGAAAGCGUGGGGAGCAAACCGGAUUAGAUACCCGGGUAGUCCACGCUGUAAACGAUGGGUGCUGGGCGUUGUGCCCGAGAGGGUGCAGUGCCGAAGGUAACCCGUUAAGCACCCCGCCUGGGGAGUACGGCCGCAAGGCUGAAACUCAAAGGAAUAGACGGGGGCCCGCACAAGCGGUGGAACAUGUGGUUUAAUUCAAUGCUCGCGAAGAACCUUACCAGGCUUGACAUGCCGGGGUAGCCUGCGAAGCAGGUCGUGCCCCUUCGGGGGGCCACCGGCACAGGUGGUACAUGGCGUCGUCAGCUCGUGCGUAGGUGUUGGGUUAAGUCCCGCAACGAGCGCAACCCCUGUCCCUAGUUGCCAGCGGGUAAAGCCGGGCACACUAGGGAGACUGCCGGCGACAAGCCGGAGGAAGGGGGGGAUGACGUCAGGUCAGUAUGCCCCUUACGCCCUGGGCUACACACGUGCUACAAUGGCCGGGACAGAGGGAUUGCGAAGCCGCGAGGUGGAGCAAAUCUCAGAAACCCGGUCCCAGUUCGGAUUGCAGGCUGCAACUCGCCUGCAUGAGGCUGGAAUCGCUAGUAACGGCCGGUCAGCUACACGGCCGUGAAUACGUUCCCGGGCCUUGUACUCACCGCCCGUCACACCCCGGAAGCUGGCUCUACCAGAAGUCCCCGGGCUAACCCCCCGCAAGGGGGGAGGCAGGGGCCGAAGUAGGG